CGUACGUGACCUGCGGAGGAUCAUUA
rnacentral:rRNA from 1 species